GUCCGGAAGCCAUGCUCGGCUAAACAUCUAGUCUAGGGCUGGAUGAAGCCCUAGCAAUGUAUCAGGGCAAUUGUAGUUCUUACUUUUUUAUUAUUUUGGAGCUUGUUUAAAUUCUUAUUUCCAAUGAAAUAUUUCUUCAUGAUAUUUAAAUUUUGAGCAUGCUAGUUACUAAUCAUGUUUGCUAAAGUAGUCUAAGAUGAUCCAUGCCUAGGA
rnacentral:lncRNA from 1 species